rnacentral:lncRNA from 1 species
UCAAAAGUAAAUAGCAAUACCUGUGUAUGACAAACAUCGAUUGUACUUUCAGAUUUUGUGAUUUUUUUUCAUUAUUUCUGUCUCAUAUAUACAUUCACUUUCUCCGGGAAUAAAAGAAUCAAAACCAUCACUUGUAUCUAGCAUCGGCAAUUCAUAGACAUAGUCCGGAAACCAGUUACCUAAGUGAAGAGGUUCUAAUGAAAAAUGAAUUAGAUCAAAGUAGAUUAGGUUCCCAAAAUAAAUAGAAUAAGCAAAUAAGGUUUACAAGAUGAUAAGUGAAAUAAUAUUUACCAAAGAUCAAUGAAUCAUCAAGACUAUCAUCUGAAAUCUACACAAGUAGUAAUUAAACAAUAAAAAAAUGGUUCUAACAAAUGAGUUACAUAGAGCACAAACAAAUGAGUUAUAACAUAACAAUCCGAAACUUACAACAACGGUGUUAGGAUUGAUUUCAAAGGGUUCGUCACGCGCAAUGUCCUUAACGGAAAAAUUACAAAACUUCAACAAAAGUAAAUACAUAUUAACACCAGAGUUAUUGGUCAAAUUAAUGAUAUUUUGCAGCCUAAUUCUAACGAUUAUAUGUCUACUUAAUCUAACUUAACCAUACAUUUGAAGGAAUAAAGGCUACCCCAUACAAAAAAACUAAUCACUAAAAAUAACAGUUGGAAAAGCAUAGCUUCUAAAUAAAACCCUGACCUUCACAAUAGCGGUAGAUGGUUCCAUGUUAUGGCAUGCUGUUGGUCCAAGAUUUUUCCAGAGGGGUCAUGUGCCUGACAAAAACACACAUAUCAAAUAA